AAAUCCAAUAUUAUAAAAAUGUUAAUUGGCCACAAUUGGUGACAGUUACUAUAAUGUAAAAGUGUUUUUGGAAUGAGAGGGGUGGGCUGUGUCACAAUACAUUAAGUACCCUAAACACAGUGUAUUAUUCUUACAGCCAGUUCCAGUUACUGGGCUUCUCGGACUUGGAGAGGAGCUAGAGGUGCACCUUGUUAUGCCAUCACUCAAGAGCAACUGAGGUUUCUGAUGUCCUGUGCUUUCAGUGUGUCUCAGAUGGCAGAUAUUCUACAUGUGUCCUGAUCGACAGUCAAACGUUGUCUAAGACACUUCAAUCUGUCACAUGCACCAUUAUAUUCUGACAUGUCAGACUUGGCUCUGGAUGAAAAGAUUAAGGACUGGUGGCUGGGAACGACAAACGUGGAGCGGAGGCUGUUCGAUCACAAUUAAGAGCUCUAGGUGCAGAGUCGCAGAGUGAGGGACAGCAUGCUCCGUGUUAACCCGAGGGUGGCUGCCCUUAGAGCCAUGUCGCAGAGGCUGCAUAGAAGGUCAUACCGUGUUGCUGUACCAAACUCGUUAUGGCACCUUGAUGGAAACCACAAACUAAUAAGGUGGAGGAUAGUCAUACAUGGUGGCAUUGAUGGGUACAGCCGUCUCGUUGUUUCUCCGUGCCUUCAGCAACAAUCGCAGCAGUAGAGUAAUGGAUUGCUUCAUGAAUGCUGUCUCCAGAUAUGGCGUUCCCUCCAGAGUUAGGACGGACCAUAGAGGAGAAAACAACACUGUCUGCUUGUUGAAUGUAAUACAUAGGGAAAAUAUAUAUAUAUUUUUUAAAUAGAGCUACAUGCAUCCUUAAAAUGUCUUCUUGACCUACACAUUGAUUACAUUCUAUAGUGAAGGAUGCAUGCGGCUACAUUUUCUGUAAAUCAUUUUUAGAACGCAAUCACAUUAUGUUUGACAGCUUUAUUGCUUUCUACAUGUUUUUGAAAUGUAUAAGCCUUUAAAUGACAUUUAACAGACUACUUCUACAAACAAGGCUACACUUGUGGCAGCACCUAUUCCUGUGCCCCCCCCCAUCGUCUGCACCACUUCUUGUGGCCCCCUCCACCUAAACCACUUCCUGUGGCCUCCCCUCCACCAUUCCCUGAGGCUUAUUGUCCACCUUCACCACACUCUUCUGUUGAUGUUGAGGACAAUGAGUAAGUCCUCCCUGUAAAUAAUUAAAUGUCUUGUUAUUACAGAUGAAAUGUGGGAAGUAUCUGAGCUUUGCUAUUCUGAAUGUCUUUUUUUGUUGUGUUGACCUCCAAACACUGCUGAAGUUAAUGAGAUGCCAACCAAGUUAACGUGAUGAUUGACAACAUUUAUGAUUGUGCCAUGAGAGGCUUUAAGAGAGCCCGCUUUAGUCCAGAGGCAAAAAUAGACAUGGUUUUUAGGGAUGCUGACAGAAAAGGGGCAGCUGAGGGUGGUCCCUCAAGACAGGGUGAUCCUCUCCUGCUGCUAAUGAGUGCCAUCCAUUCCUCUGCAAUAUUUGAGGGACCUGAUUAGCAAAAAUGCCUUUUUUUGUAACUCUCAAGGUGAGUUACACUUUAACACCAACAAAGACACAUUUGUUUAUGGCAAUAUAUAUGACUUGAGUAAGACAUUUGAUUUUUGUAUUUAAUGUGUCCUUUAUUUGCUGUUUGUCUUCUGUGUGAUAGCACUCUAUGAUGGUGUAUACAAGCAGGUGGGCCGCUUGAUUGCUGUCUGUCUGGUACAUGGGGGUGUAGAGUCACAUUUUUUUUUCAGAGGCUAUACAGGCAAGUGUGUGGCCAACAACCUCCUGUGCCAGAACUGAAAGAAAUUGCGGAAUAUGACUUCAGAGAGAAGUUGGAGAAGGUAAGUAGUUUAUACUGUGAAUGUUAUUUAUGUUACUGUUAAUUUGCACUAAGUUUGAAAAAAAAAAUGGUAUUGGUUCAUGAAUACCUUUCCACAUGGAUUUGGUUUCCUUUUGUUGGCAGUCAAUCUUUUUUAAGGGUAGUGAUAAUCAGUUUAUUGUUUUGCUAAUUUGUCCCAAAACACAGAUCAAUAAACAAUCUAAAAUCCAGUUAGCAUAAACUGUUGAUGAGGCAACGGAAGCGGUCAUGUUGGAUCCAGUGCAAUACAUUCGUACAUUGGAGAGGGAUGCCCUGGUGGAGUCAACCACAAAGUUUUACAUAGAAAGUAGGAUACGGGAUGCUCUUGAGCAGUGAGUUUCCAUAUGUCUAAUUAAUCUCAAGUUUAGUUAAAUACUUCAGGGCAAAUUCAUUGACUUUUUUUUACUUUAUAGAUUCAAAGAGGGUCUGAUGUGUCUAGGUCUCCUGCCUUAAAUGAAUAGACACUCAAGCCUCUUCAUCUACGCUGAGAAACCUCUUUUGGCCAAAGACAUAGCUUCUCUCUUCAAAGCAGAGCGCUCCCCACCUGGCACCAGUCAAAGAGCAAUAGAGAAACAAGUCAAAUGUUUCUGGAAGGACUGGCUUCUGGAGGUGGAAGGUUAGAUGCAAAACCAUGAUCAUUGAAGUAACACGGCCCACAUCAAUAAAAUAUCACCUCAUCACGCAUUUUAUAGCCUUAUUCUUCCAUGGGCCCCCUAAGAAUUUAAUAGAUCAAUUAAAUCCCAAACUACUUUCACUUAGAGUAUUGUGUUCUCCAAUAAGUGUUACUUAUGAACCUUAAUGUCCCCCCCCUUCCCUUUUUUCAGGGGGGAACACAUACCCUUUAACCAUGGGGAAGGUUUUCAUUUUCACUUGGUGGGCUUCAGCAUUCCUAGGCUGGUAUUGCCAGUGGAGCCACAGCUACAGUUCUCUCUGCUACUGCACGGCAAUCAUUACCGUAGCGCCAAGUCUAGG